rnacentral:misc_RNA from 1 species
GAUGAAGAACGCAGCGAAAUGCGAUAAGUAAUGUGAAUUGCAGAAUUCAGUGAAUCAUCGAAUCUUUGAACGCACAUUGCGCCACUUGGUAUUCCGAGGGGCAUGCCUGUUCGAGCGUCAUUAUAACCCCUCAAGCUCAGCUUGGUGUUGGGGCCUGCUGCACUGGCAGCCCUUAAAAUCAGUGGCGGCGCCAUCUGGCUCUAAGCGUAGUAAUUCUUCUCGCUAUGGAGUCCUGGUGGAUGCUUGCCAUCAACCCCCAAUUUUUCUAUGGUUGACCUCGGAUCAGGUAGGGAUACCCGCUGAACUUAAGCAUAUCAAUAAGCGGAGA